rnacentral:tmRNA from 1 species
CCCCUUUCAAUCAACGUCCAAACCGCCUAUAUCUGAAGGGCUGGUCUCCAGCUAUGGCAAUAAACGGUCAGUGCAAUAAGCCUAUCGGACCCGGGGGCGGUACCCGGCGCCUCCACCCAAACACACGGAUGUCCGUCAUAUAUGACGUGUGUUUCGGCGGGGGCGAAAUAGGAUCGACGAGGGUGUAAAGACUGCGCUUUUGCUCGGCAUUGUACCACCGUUAUCGGGCUAUCUUAAUAGUUGCAAACGACAACUAUGCUAUGGACAACGCUGUUGCUGCGUAAUGCGGCACCAGUCGUCCUUUAAAGUCCUGCUGGGUUAGCUCCGGCAGGCGGGGUUCGGAGGCGCCUGGCAACAGAAGCCUCCACU